rnacentral:lncRNA from 1 species
UGAAACAGGCAACUGGAUAUUGGGCAGGAUCUUGGCUCCAGCCUCGGGUUGGUUCACGGAGCUUCUGUCUUCACCACGGAGGCCUCUGCCAAUUCUCAGGGCAGGUCCACAGCUGACCGGUUGACAGGGAUUCACCAUGUUGGCCAGGCUGGUUUCAAACACCUGACCUCAAGUGAUCCUGCAGCCUGGGCCUCCCAAAGUGCUAGGAUUACCACCACAUCCGGCCUGAACUCACUGCUUUAACUGAAGCAGUGGGCGAAAGGCAUAGCCAAGCAGUUACACAGAAACUGGUCCUUAAUAGAAAAUUAACUCUAAAUUGUUCCCUUGAACUAUGUUGAAGGGAAAACCCUAACUUUCCACUCCUAAGUAACAAAAGGACCAGAGGCCUUUGCAAACCCCACUCACGUUUUCUGCCUGGCAGAUGGGAAACUGGCUGUCUGCAACAAAUCAGACUUAUUGUGGGUCAAGUCUUCGUUUGCAACUUUGUAACUUCACUCACUCCAGCCUCUGAAUGGUCGCUGUUCACACCAGUCAGACUGAUUACAGGCUGAGUUUUCAUCUGCAUAGAAGUAUAACUUUGUAACUUCACUCCAGCCUCUGACGGGUUGC